rnacentral:rRNA from 1 species
GUGAGGAAUAUUGGUCAAUGGGCGGGAGCCUGAACCAGCCAAGUCGCGUGAAGGAAGAAGGAUCUAUGGUUCGUAAACUUCUUUUGUGCAGGAAUAAAGUGGGUUACGUGUAACCUUUUGUAUGUACUGUACGAAUAAGGAUCGGCUAACUCCGUGCCAGCAGCCGCGGUAAUUCGGAGGAUCCGAGCGUUAUCCGGAUUUAUUGGGUUUAAAGGGUGCGUAGGUGGAUUGAUAAGUCAGCGGUGAAAGUUUGCAGCUUAACUGUAAAAUUGCCGUUGAAACUGUCGGUCUUGAGUGCAAAUGAGGUAGGCGGAAUGUGUUGUGUAGCGGUGAAAUGCUUAGAUAUAACACAGAACUCCGAUUGCGAAGGCAGCUUACUGGGAUGCAACUGACACUGAUGCACGAAAGCGUGGGUAUCAAACAGGAUUAGAUACCCGAGUAGUCC